rnacentral:lncRNA from 1 species
AGCAUCUAAGACGAAAACAGGCAGUGACUUGACUUUUAACCCUGCACAGUGCUAACGUUAACUCACUUACGGGUAUCUACUAACUAACUUACAAGUAUAUACUACAUACAUACUACACAGAGUCUAAGAGCAAGUCCAUGGCGAGGGGUGGAUGACGCUAGUAAAUUGUCCAGUUCUGGGCCCAUUCACCUGCUAAGCCUGGCAACUUAGCAAGCCAACAAUUCAAGGAUUCAACCUGAAUCCUUUGUUUAUUGUGGAUUUUUUUUUUGCUUUCUUUUUUCUUUUUUUUUUUUUUUUCCCUUGUUAUGGAGCCCACUGCACAUGGCGUACAUACAUCUCAGACAUACCCUUACUAAAAGGUGGUAUCGCGGUAUGUACGACUACGACGACAUGCGGAGUAAAUUAAUAGCCCAUUCAAUUGAUAUACCAUACAUACGUAUGAUAUUACGACGAUCAACUACUCUCUGUACAUGGUACAUACUACAUAGUUAUUAGUAGCCGUGCUAGAGUCAGGAUUGACGCUCAUUUGGGGCUGGCUCGGUUUCUGAUUCGGCACUCGGCUGAAACUGGUUACUGCUGUACUAUGGUGACUUGUAUCAGUCAGUCAGUCAGUCAUGACCUUGGACUCUGUUUGUUGAAGGUAAUAUUAAAUGCCUGCCUGCGGAGUGGUCGUUAAUUAGUUAGUAAACUCCGCCGAGACUGAUGUCUUACGCCUGACUAGCCGACUAACUAGUUUCUUCAAGGUCAUAUGUCCAGGCCAGCCAAGUACGAAGGUCACAAAGAGUACUCUGUAUGGAUCAUCCGUAUGGUCACAGAGCCCCCCCCCCCCAAGGUCCAUAGAUCGGUGAUUCAUGAUACGACGAUGAUACACCGUCAUACACGGAACGGAGCAUUUCUGGCGAUCUGAUUGGCCGCGACAACGUUUGGUACGAGCUAAUUUUGUAUUUUCUGACAUAUUGACAAUUUGACACAGACUGGGACAUCCAAAUAUGAUCCAUAAUUCCAUAUGCGAAGUUAGUAUUACAUCGUAUACAGAGGAAGUAUGGCUCGGAAUAAGGCUUCCAACUGGCUGACGACGCCGCAGCCAAACAUGGACGAUUCGUGAAGAAUCAAGAAAGGGGGACGGAUCGGCCAAUCAGACCGAAGGGACAAAAAUGAGAAACGAGGGCGUUAGAGAUAGUUAGUUAGUACGUACGUAGCUAACUAACUAACUACUCUCGGAGUAGUUAGCAGGCAAGCGAAAAGAAAGCGAAAGGAAUGAGCUGUACUGAGUAGCACCGCUAGCACAGAAAAAGGAAAGAGCACGCAUUCCGCCCAAUAGCACCGCGUCCCGCUAGGCCGAGAGCGGUUAUAUUGCGUGGACGCAGUGGCCAGACUGGGACUGGCGGGGGUCAUGUCCAUUUCUCGGCUCACCCAGCCAGUUACCACUUUCUUUCUUUCUUUCUUUCUUUCUUUCGGUUCUUUCUUUUUGAGGUCCAAUGUUUGAUAUCGUACCGACGGUCGACCGGCCUGGAUGCAGGCGGCAAAUGCUGAUGACUUACUGAAGUUACAUGCGGCAAAGCAAAGUCACUCGAGCCUCUCUGCCUUGGCCGUCUGAUUGGUCUGGAGAAAUGAAGUCAAACUUACAAGACGGAGAAUACACGGAAUUGCGCUGGUGGUACGAUAGGCCUCGUGAAGGCGGCGUGAUCGCCGUAAUCUUCGUAAUCGGAAUCGCCGUAAUUACCAUCUUCGCUUCUCUUCUCCGUGGAGACCGGACCAGGCUAUGCUACACAUAAUACGGCCUGCCUGUAGUAGUAAUAGUACUACUACUGUACGGUGUAGACGUAGUAACUAGUUAACUGUGGUUGAGACGUAGACUUGACUUGCCUUGACUCUCAUCGCCCCGACCGACCGGUCAGCUCAUCCAUGACCAUCCGGCGUACCACACCAACUACAGCAUGUACGAUGGAUACAUACUCUACAUACGUAGUAUAUUCCACUCCAACUCCAUAGUAAUCCACCCCACCGUCAACGACUGUCUCUGGUCUUACCAACCGAGGGGGUCAAAGACAAUAUAACUUUCAUUUCUUUUAGCCUAUUAGACAGCCUGUGUAGUCUGUACGUCCUUGGUAUUUCCAGAUCGGCUUUACCCACACAACUCGCCACGAGCGGCAUUGCGUUGCGUUGCGUUGCGUUGCGUUAUGUUUCAACGCGACAUAUUUUGCCUAAGCCUCUGGUCGUCAUUUCUUGUGUGAACGUUCUAUCCGGAUGGAUGAUUCGUUAAUUUGUCCAGUAAACUCUAUGUAAGACGGCCGGGGCACUUCUGUACCCAGCCGGGUCUGGUCCCGUCUGUCUGUGCGUGUGUUUUUAUGAGCAAAUUGACAGUGAAAAAGCCUGAAAGUGACCUCCUCCAUACACUGCGUACAGACGGACAACGCCCGUCACAACGGACUCUAACUACUACCGGUAGUACCGCUGAUAACUUAGUGCAGAGGACGUACCGCUCUGCUUCCCUGGCAAGCCCUGAUUCGUGCUCGAGACUGGUUACGCCCAUCCUCUACUCGGUCGAGGUGACUCCUCCAUACGUAGUAGUACUACGUAGUAGGUGGCUAGGUACGUACUAGGUACUGAGUCGUGAGACCUGUAAAGAAUUAACUAAUAUUCGCCACGAACUGAUUAUCAUAUACAAGAAUGGUAAUUAAGCCGACCUCCAAUCCGACUUCCGAGUCUUUUUUUUUUUUUUUUUUUUUUUUUUUUUUUUUUUUUUUUUCCUUCCCACCUUCCCUUUCUUUCCAUUUUUGAUGAUCAACCGACUAGCCAUGUUUUUCAAGUCAAGUGUAUCAUCUGAAUGAAAUAAUCGGCGCUUGUGACGGUCGCCGGUCGGUGGCCGCGGAACGAACACCACCAUAUCCUCCUCUACUGAGCUGGGCCGGGCUGGGCUGGGCAGUGCUGUGGUAGAUGAAUGAUGAUGAUGAUGGAUGUGAUGCAUGCAAGGCGAUGCAUCUCGUCUUUCUGCCUACGGGAUUACUAUGUAACUUAUGCAGUGUACAGAGUAUCCGUCAACACUGCGUACCGUACCUUUGACCUUUGACACCUACGCCGAGCAUCGAUCGCUUGCCCUAUUGAAUUUGUGCAUUUCCUCGGCGUUUAUGUAUCCUCUGUCACUAACUAUGUAACUUACUAUUGAAUCUAUCAAUCUCAUAGUACGUCGUUAGCAGCCGCUUGACCACAGAGUAACUAGCACUUAACGGACUCUGUGAUGAUUAUGAGACGCAUUCCCUUCGUACCUGGGGUAAAUACUCUCUCUGUAUUGAUGGCAGUGUAUGCAAGUCUCCAUCCCAUAUCCAGUCAUCGACCAACCAGACUCGUGACUCGAUGGUGUAUCAUAUUUCAAUAAAGCGGAACACGCCGGACAACCUAGGAGGUAAGUAGUACAUACCAUUACAACACACUGCACAGAAGUUCGUAUCUACGAGUAGGAGCCAACCUAACGGAUGGAAAUAGAAAUGGACAUGCAUGCAAAGUAAAUAAAUAAUCCGAUCGAAUUUAACCUGAUCUGAUCUGAUCUUCAUGGAGCUGAAAUUUAAAAAAACAAACAAACAAACAAACAAACAAACAAACAAACAAACAAACACGGUUCAUAGGCUCGAAGUAUAAUAUCGGCCCUAGGGACCCCAAGGAUUGAUUGGGCGAUUGGAGACGAAAUGAAAAAUGUCGGUGAAUAAUAAAUUGAUGGUAUUAUGACUAGGUAACUGGACUUGUGAUGAGCCUUUUUGCAAGGGUGAAUUGGAUAUCCAUGCAUCACGUGGAAAGCAAUGGAGUGAUAGGUUUGAUGAGCCCGGCUGUACAUAGUAAGUAACUUAUAGUUUAGUAUAGUAACUAUAUAUUUUGGUGCCUUAUUGAAGCGUUGUAUCAACUUAUCAAGGAUGUGUCUGACUGCUCAGCCUUGCUUGAAACCUACAUACAUACGGCGGACAGAGUCAUACGGACUCAGCUAACUAACUAGUUAACUAGUUAACUAAUUAGUUAAUGAACUAGCUUUCGAUAGGUCUACUGAUCAUCGUAAAACCUAUUAAUUGUCAUUGACUCAGUGUCAGGUCAGGUCAGACCGUCGCCCCCGGAUGGAUGGACAUGGACGGGAUGGGAUGCCUACCUACAUGUAUGUACUCUGCAACUGAACCUUACUACUCCGUACAUGCGCUUCUAAUUAUUUGGCCCCCCUCGCAUUUCGUUCUGACUUUCCAAGGUUCUAUAGAACCUUUCAGCAACAACAACUGCCGAGAAGGAUAGUUAACUAUCUGGCUUUUACUCCGUCCGUUGUACCUAGUCAACCUACGUGUUGAUUUAUGCCUGUCAUUUAACUUAGCGUUGACACUAAGUUAGUUAACUUAAGUUACUUAAGUUAGGUAGCUGAUACAUUACGUACACACUGUCUUACCCUUUCGGACGAGUCCCGUUUCCAAAGAAGUUGUUUACUCGUCUUCCUCCAUGUCGAUAUAAC